GGAGCCAGAAAGCCGCUCCUCACUGCGCUCUCUUCGGCCCUUCUUCACCCCCAACUUGGGUUGCCGCUCUGGCCAAGAGCGAACUACCGUGAAAAGAAGAAAGUCCCGCUUCGUGGGGCAGCCGACGGAGAAAAAGCAGGAUGUGACCAGAGAUCUUGAGAUAUGGAAGUUUCCAACCCUGGCAGCUACUUUGGAUUUGGAUGCUGGUUGCUGAGCAGGAGAUAAUUUCCAAAGCAACUUUUUGGAGAUGACCACCUAAAUAACUAAGAAAACCAAAGCUGUGUUCUGGCUUGUUAGGAGAUUUUGGACUUGUGAAGGCCCAAGAAAGACAACAAAAAUUAAAGUGAAAUGUGCAUGCAACAGUUCCUACAAAAUUGUCUUUACCUCGCUGACAAGCAUAAUAGGAGUGAUCCGUUACCAUACCUUGUUUUAUUAAUGUAUUCUUAUGAGUCGUCUAUGCUUUAAGCAUUUCACCUGUGAUGGAGAAAUCCAUAGCUGUCCAAUACCUGACUACUACUUUGUAUACUGAAUACUAUUCUAGAAGGUGUUCCCUAGACUCUAGACAUGAACCAUAGUUUUGCUUCAUAAUAUUUCCUUGGAACUCUGGAGCUAGAGAUGAGAAAAGCUUGACUCUCCUCUUUGGGGUCAGGCUUUCCCACAAGGCUGACCUAAAUUGGACCAGAACUCCUUGUGAGAACUACUUCCUCCCAACCCUCUGGGUGAUAUGAUAUACACCAAAAAUAUAUAAAAAGGAUAUGAAUGACUAGGGGAAUACUGAAAAACUUCUUGAACUUGGCAUCUGAUCUGAGCCUUGAAAGGGAACUAGGGAUUUUAAGAGGAGAGUUGAAGAAGAGAAAUAUCCCAUUUUGCAGAUUAAAAAAAAAAAAGGGCACAGAGGAUUUAUUAGUUAAUGACAGAGUUAGAGCUAAAACCCAGAUCUCUUAGACUAUUCCUUUCUACCACAGCAGUGAUCUUAUUGAAGGUCAAAUGAAAUCCAAAAGAUUACAAGUUCCUUGAGAAUGCAAACUAUUUAAUUUUGUCUUUGUAUUCCCAGUGCCUGAUGGGGUACCUGGCAUAUAGUGGGCACCUUUAAAGAUAUGAAUUAUAUACAUAUAUUAUAUGUGUGUAUAUAUGUAUUUAAUUUUUUAUGAUAAACUUAAGCAUUAAAUAAAUGAACAAAAUUUUAUACAUACCUAGAAAUACAUGAAGAGAAUUGUACGUGAAAUUGUGACUCAUAUAUCUUAAUUUUUUCUGAUAUAAUCAAUUCAAUGUAUAAUUUUCUUUUUAAAAUAAUAUUUUCUUUUCCCCAAUAACAUGUAAAAAUUAUUUAAAUUAUUUUUUAAUGUUGAAUUCUAAAUUCUCAUCCUCCCUUCUCUCCUCAAUCAAACAGUAAACAAUCUAACAUGGUUCAAAUGUGUACAAUUAUAACAUGUAACUUUUAAAGCUGUCCUACUUAUUUGUGAUUCUUUUUGGACUUCCUUCUGUUCUCUUCUGUGCAUUUAGAAAAAAUGUUUCAGUGGCCCAUUAUAUUUUUUCUUUUUCUUUUUAUUGGGGGAGGAUGGUACCCUAUCUUUAGAUUUUCCCCUAACCUUCUCAAACUGAAAUGGGGGGGAAAGGGGGAAAACACCUUGUAAAAAAUACACAUUGUCAAACAAAACAAAUUUCCACAUCUCUCUGUUCUGAAAAUCACAUUAAAUGCUUUACUAUAUGUUUGUUGAAUUAAA